AGUGAACGCUGGCGGUAGGCCUAACACAUGCAAGUCGAACGGCAGCACAGGAGAGCUUGCUCUCUAGGUGGCGAGUGGCGGACGGGUGAGGAAUACAUCGGAAUCUGCCCAGUCGUGGGGGAUAACGUAGGGAAACUUACGCUAAUACCGCAUACGACCUUCGGGUGAAAGAGGGGGAUCUCAAGACCUCUCGCGAUUGGAUGAGCCGAUGUCGGAUUAGCUAGUUAGCGGGGUAAUGGCCCACCAAGGCGACGAUCCGUAGCUGGUCUGAGAGGAUGAUCAGCCACACUGGAACUGAGACACGGUCCAGACUCCUACGGGAGGCAGCAGUGGGGAAUAUUGGACAAUGGGCGCAAGCCUGAUCCAGCCAUACCGCGUGGGUGAAGAAGGCCUUCGGGUUGUAAAGCCCCUUUGUUGGGAAAGAAAUCUUUCAGGCUAAUACCCUGGGAGGAUGACGGUACCCAAAGAAUAAGCACCGGCUAACUUCGUG
rnacentral:rRNA from 1 species